CCUACGGGUGGCAGCAGUGAGGAAUAUUGGUCAAUGGGCGCGAGCCUGAACCAGCCAAGUAGCGUGAAGGAUGACUGCCCUAUGGGUUGUAAACUUCUUUUAUAUGGGAAUAAAGUGUUGCACGUGUGCCUUUUUGUAUGUACUUUAUGAAUAAGGAUCGGCUAACUCCGUGCCAGCAGCCGCGGUAAUACGGAGGAUCCGAGCGUUAUCCGGAUUUAUUGGGUUUAAAGGGAGCGUAGGUGGGUUGUUAAGUCAGUUGUGAAAGUUUGCGGCUCAACCGUAAAAUUGCAGUUGAUACUGGCAGUCUUGAGUACAGUAGAGGUGGGCGGAAUUCGUGGUGUAGCGGUGAAAUGCUUAGAUAUCACGAAGAACUCCGAUUGCGAAGGCAGCUUACUGGACUGCCACUGACACUGAGGCUCGAAAGUGUGGGUAUCAAACAGGAUUAGAUACCCCAGUAGUC
rnacentral:rRNA from 1 species